rnacentral:rRNA from 1 species
CCUACGGGAGGCAGCAGUGGGGAAUAUUGCACAAUGGGGGGAACCCUGAUGCAGCAACGCCGCGUGGGUGAAGAAGUACUCCGGUAUGUAAAGCCCUGUCAGCAGGGAAGAAAAUGACGGUACCUGACCAAGAAGCCCCGGCUAACUACGUGCCAGCAGCCGCGGUAAUACGUAGGGGGCAAGCGUUAUCCGGAUUUACUGGGUGUAAAGGGAGCGUAGACGGCAAUGCAAGUCGGGGGUGAAAGCCCGGGGCCCAACCACGGGACUGCUUUGGAAACUGUGUUGCUGGAGUGCAGGAGGGGUAAGCGGAAUUCCUAGUGUAGCGGUGAAAUGCGUAGAUAUUAGGAGGAACACCGGUGGCGAAGGCGGCUUACUGGACUGUAACUGACGUUGAGGCUCGAAGGCGUGGGGAGCAAACAGGAUUAGAUACCCGAGUAGUC